CUUUCUUUGCUGGCGGCCGGCGCACGGGUGAGUAACACGUAUCCAACCUGCCCUUUACUCGGGGAUAGCCUUUCGAAAGAAAGAUUAAUACCCGAUAGCAUAAUGAUUCCGCAUGGUUUCAUUAUUAAAGGAUUCCGGUAAAGGAUGGGGAUGCGUUCCAUUAGGUUGUUGGUGAGGUAACGGCUCACCAAGCCUUCGAUGGAUAGGGGUUCUGAGAGGAAGGUCCCCCACAUUGGAACUGAGACACGGUCCAA
rnacentral:rRNA from 1 species